GUCCUGGCGUGCGUGUUGUGGAUAGAGCACCAAGCCAGCUUGGGACAGAUGAACAAUGCCCUGUCUGCGGAAAACUUGGGGACAAGAACCUAGCAUACUCAUCAUCGGAAAGACCAAGGACUUCAUUCAGAAACUGAUGUGAGCAGAUGCAGAGUCCCACAGCCACACAUUAGGGGAAGCUCAGGGAGUCCUGAGGAGAAGGAUGCUUCUGUGACUGCCUCUGUGACGUCUGAGGAUCCCUUCAGCGUCCGCUACUGGAUGUCCUACACUCAACCUCCCAACAGGCCAGAAGAGAAUCUUGGAAAACUGAUCACCUGACACUGUACCACCCCUUCUCAGAAUGAUGAUGUGUCACUCCCCGCACAGUGCAUUGGCAAGAACUAGUCAUACGGUCAACCUAGAUGUAGGGGAAGCUGUGAGAAUAACCACAUAACUGCACCUUAGAAACAGUGCUGUGCUAUGGAAGGGAACUGGAACAGUCUCGUUCAGCUAGCCAUCUCCUUCAUAAGCACCAGUCACUAGAGAUAGUUUUUCUUUAAGUAAAAAUAACUCCUUUGAGUCAGGUGUAGUAAUGUGUGCCUAUAGUUCCAGCACAUUGUAAGUGGUGUUAGGAGUAUUGGGGUUUCCUUGUAAGCUAUAGCUACCUGGCUUGGAAAUUUUUUAAAUCAUGAAGGCUGGAGAAAUGGUUCAGCAGUAAAGGGCACUUGCUGUAUUUUAGGUUCAGUUCCCUGAACCAUAUGACAGCUCACUAAGUCUGUAACUACAGCUUAAUAUUUUCUAAGUUAAAAUCAUAAUCAUGAUAAUGAUGACAAAGAAGGAAACAAUCAAAAGAGAGGAUGGAGGAAGGGAGAGAGGGAGAGAAGGUAUAGAAGGAGGAAAAGUGGCAGGGAAGGAGGGAGGGAAGUAGGAAGGAAAAAUAGAUUGGCACUUUUCUCUCUUUAUGGAAGAUGCAGAUUAAUUGAUUAUUACUCCAAAUAAAGCUCCCUCCUAAUCUGGUGUGUUAGUACAUGCCUUUAAUCCCAGCAUUCAGGAGCCAGAGAUAGGUGGAUUUCUGUGAGUUCAAGUCCAGCCCAGUCUACACAUAAGAAGUUCCAGCCCAGCCAAGGCUACGUAGUAAGACUCUGUACAAAAUAAAUAAAUAAAAGAAUAUCUUUUAAAAAUUCCCAA